rnacentral:rRNA from 1 species
AUGACCUGGCGGAAUGCUUUACACAUCGCAAGUUGAACGGCAGCACGGACUUCGGUCUGGUGGCGAGUGGCGAACGGGUGAGUAAUACAUCGGAACGUGCCCAGUCGUGGGGGAUAACGUAGCGAAAGCUACGCUAAUACCGCAUACGAUCUAAGGAUGAAAGCGGGGGAUCGCAAGACCUCGCGCGAUUGGAGCGGCCGAUGGCAGAUUAGGUAGUUGGUAGGGUAAAAGCCUACCAAGCCGACGAUCUGUAGCUGGUCUGAGAGGACGACCAGCCACACUGGGACUGAGACACGGCCCAGACUCCUACGGGAGGCAGCAGUGGGGAAUUUUGGACAAUGGGCGAAAGCCUGAUCCAGCCAUUCCGCGUGCAGGAUGAAGGCCCUCGGGUUGUAAACUGCUUUUGUACGGAACGAAAAGGUCCUGGUUAAUACCUGGGGCUCAUGACGGUACCGUAACGAAUAAGCACCGGCUAAACUACAGUGCCAGCAAGCCGAGGCACAUAUCACUAUAGGGUGUCGCACACGCUGUUACACCUCGGCGAAUUAACUAGGAGCGCUACAAAGCCGUUGCGCAUGGGCGGAUUGGAUAGUACAGACCACGAGUGUGAAAAUCCCCGGUGCCUCAACCUUGAGAACUGCCUUUGUGGACU